rnacentral:misc_RNA from 1 species
CGAUGAAGGUUCAAGAGGGGCAAGGAAAAGCUAGAGAUGAGAACUGAGUGGAAGAUUCAAGAGUGCCUCUGGUUCUCUUUUAUUGUCUUAAUGCUUUUCAUCAUUGCAAGUGAUUCUAUUGCAAAGCCUCUACAAAGCAACACUGACUGCUUUCGCAAUGUCACAAGUGGUGAAUUUCAUGAAGAAACUUUCUCAGUCGAAUCCGAAGUGCAUCCAAGUCCUCCCUUUGCCGUCCAACUACAGAUGGGGAUGCGUGUUAUUAGUUAUGAUAGUUUUCGAAAGCAGCAAAUUUGCAAUGCGAAAAUAUAUGGCAAUUGCUUAGGACCGAAGAUGUCAGGGCAUACUGAUAACCGGCCCUGUAAUUACUACACUAAAUGCAGAGUAAAAUAGGAUUUAAGGAGAGAUGCAAGGAGACAAAGGUUCGCACUUCUGUUCUGUAGUGCAAUCUCUAAAAUAAAAUGCAGAAUUACCUCAUUUUCCUUUCUUUCAUUCUUCAACUUGAGUUUCUUUAAUUUGUUCUUUUUGCCUUUCUCAUGUUUGUAUGGUUAAACUUAUAACCAAAAGCAAAUUGCUUAAUUAAAUCCAACAUUUAGUAUGAAAGCACUAGAUGAUAUACCAGUUUUAGCACCAAGCACUAAGCGAAUAUUUUUUCCAUGGCCUCCGAGUGGCUGAUUGAGGAGUCCGUGUAUCUCUAACUUUUAAAUAUGAGAAACGAAGAAUUCUUUUUCUUUCUAUAGUUGUUCUCUCUCGUCCUCUACUUCUCUCCCUUAUCUCCUCCUCAAUUUCCUUCUCUUCAUUUUCCUACAUAUAAAUGUGACAGAUUAGGCAGUAUUCAUUUAUUGAAGAAUCCAAGGAUUUUUCUGAAUUGUCAAACACUGAGGUUGUGGGUUUUUUUCAAGGCCAUGCAUGAACAGCGAAAUUUAUUAAGAAUCGGAAGUCUUCAAUAUGAAGGUGCUCUGCAGUCCAAGCAUUACGAAAAACCUAAAAAUUGCAAAAGAAAAAGUAUGCUAAUAUAAUUAUAUUUAUUAAAGAAAAAAAAACCGAAAAAACUAUCAAAUUGCUUGUUUUCAUUUCCGCUAUCACAUAUCACCAGUUAAUUUUCUCCUAACCACAUUUUCAGUUCACUUAAAAUAUUGAAUAUUAUUUUUCAAAAAAUACUGAAUAUUAAUUAUUUAUGGUGAGACUUUGUAGGAUUAGCCUAAAGAUUUAAAU